rnacentral:rRNA from 1 species
AGUCGAGUGACACUGCGCCGAAAAUGUACCGGGGCUAAACAUAUUACCGAAGCUGUGGAUUGUCCUUUGGACAAUGGUAGGAGAGCGUUCUAAGGGCGUUGAAGCAUGAUUGUAAGGACAUGUGGAGCGCUUAGAAGUGAGAAUGCCGGUGUGAGUAGCGAAAGACGGGUGAGAAUCCCGUCCACCGAUUGACUAAGGUUUCCAGAGGAAGGCUCGUCCGCUCUGGGUUAGUCGGGUCCUAAGCUGAGGCCGACAGGCGUAGGCGAUGGAUAACAGGUUGAUAUUCCUGUACCACCUAUAAUCGUUUUAAUCGAUGGGGGGACGCAGUAGGAUAGGCGAAGCGUGCGAUUGGAUUGCACGUCUAAGCAGUAAGGCUGAGUAUUAGGCAAAUCCGGUACUCGUUAAGGCUGAGCUGUGAUGGGGAGAAGACAUUAUGUCUUCGAGUCGUUGAUUUCACACUGCCGAGAAAAGCCUCUAGAUAGAAAAUAGGUGCCCGUACCGCAAACCGACACAGGUAGUCAAGAUGAGAAUUCUAAGGUGAGCGAGCGAACUCUCGUUAAGGAACUCGGCAAAAUGACCCCGUAACUUCGGGAGAAGGGGUGCUCUUUAGGGUUAACGCCCAGAAGAGCCGCAGUGAAUAGGCCCAAGCGACUGUUUAUCAAAAACACAGGUCUCUGCUAAACCGUAAGGUGAUGUAUAGGGGCUGACGCCUGCCCGGUGCUGGAAGGUUAAGAGGAGUGGUUAGCUUCUGCGAAGCUACGAAUCGAAGCCCCAGUAAACGGCGGCCGUAACUAUAACGGUCCUAAGGUAGCGAAAUUCCUUGUCGGGUAAGUUCCGACCCGCACGAAAGGCGUAACGAUUUGGGCACUGUCUCAACGAGAGACUCGGUGAAAUCAUAGUACCUGUGAAGAUGCAGGUUACCCGCGACAGGACGGAAAGACCCCGUGGAGCUUUACUGUAGCCUGAUAUUGAAAUUCGGCACAGCUUGUACAGGAUAGGUAGGAGCCUUUGAAACGUGAGCGCUAGCUUACGUGGAGGCGCUGGUGGGAUACUACCCUAGCUGUGUUGGCUUUCUAACCCGCACCACUUAUCGUGGUGGGAGACAGUGUCAGGCGGGCAGUUUGACUGGGGCGGUCGCCUCCUAAAAGGUAACGGAGGCGCUCAAAGGUUCCCUCAGAAUGGUUGGAAAUCAUUCAUAGAGUGUAAAGGCAUAAGGGAGCUUGACUGCGAGACCUACAAGUCGAGCAGGGUCGAAAGACGGACUUAGUGAUCCGGUGGUUCCGCAUGGAAGGGCCAUCGCUCAACGGAUAAAAGCUACCCCGGGGAUAACAGGCUUAUCUCCCCCAAGAGUUCACAUCGACGGGGAGGUUUGGCACCUCGAUGUCGGCUCAUCGCAUCCUGGGGCUGUAGUCGGUCCCAAGGGUUGGGCUGUUCGCCCAUUAAAGCGGUACGCGAGCUGGGUUCAGAACGUCGUGAGACAGUUCGGUCCCUAUCCGUCGUGGGCGUAGGAAAUUUGAGAGGAGCUGUCCUUAGUACGAGAGGACCGGGAUGGACAUACCUCUGGUGUACCAGUUGUCGUGCCAACGGCAUAGCUGGGUAGCUAUGUGUGGACGGGAUAAGUGCUGAAAGCAUCUAAGCAUGAAGCCCCCCUCAAGAUGAGAUUUCCCAACUUCGGUUAUAAGAUCCCUCAAAGAUGAUGAGGUUAAUAGGUUCGAGGUGGAAGCAUGGUGACAUGUGGAGCUGACGAAUACUAAUCGAUCGAAGACUUAAUCAA